AUGAGGGCGGCUUGGAAUUGUGCCCAGGCAGUUCGUUUUUGGCCAAUUGGCCCAAAUCUGUUUGUUGUUCAAGUUUACUGCCUUGGUGAUUGGGAUAGUAUCAUGUCCCAGGGGCCAUGGCUGUUCCGCAAUAUGGCAGUCCUGUUGACGCCUUAUGAUGGUUUCUCAAACGCCGAGGAGGUGCCGAUAGUGUACAUGCCAAUCUGGCUCUAG
rnacentral:rRNA from 1 species